rnacentral:lncRNA from 1 species
CUGGGUUCAUCAAACCGCUUAAUGGACAGGCUAUAUUUUGUUUUGUUUUGUUUUUUGCUCAUAAAGGGCCAGCUUGGUUUUGGCUGCAGUCAGACGUGUGAGAGACAAGAGAGAUGCCCAGAUGCCCUUCCACAGUGCCUCUCCUUGUGCAUGGGAAAUGUGCCACGCGGCAAGAACCAGCAUGUCUGUGUCUGAAAAUGAUGUUAACCACCCUUAUAGCAGCAGAAGCAACCAAACCAGCCAAGUGGUGCUGCCUGCCAGCCCCAUGGAUAUAGGAGUGUGUGUAUUUCUGCAGACACCUGCCAACUAUGAUCCAUCCUCUACUACCUCCCCUCCAGACACAAUUUGUCAAGCGGCGUUGUCUUUACCAGUUCAGCUCUUCGAAGAAAAAGGCAACAAUACGGCAGCCUUCAGAAGAAGUUGCAAACAUGUCUGCUGCUGA